UUGGAGGGCAAGUCUGGUGCCAGCAGCCGCGGUAAUUCCAGCUCCAAUAGCGUAUAUUAAAGUUGUUGAGGUUAAAAAAGCUCGUAGUUGAACCUUGGGCCUAGCCGGCCGGUCCGCCUCACCGCGUGCACUGGCUCGGCUGGGUCUUUCCUUCUGGAGAACCGCAUGCCCUUCACUGGGUGUGCCGGGGAACCAGGACUUUUACUCUAGAACAAUUAGAUCGCUUAAAGAGGCCUAUGCUCGAAUACAUUAGCAUGGAAUAAUAGAAUACGG
rnacentral:rRNA from 1 species